rnacentral:rRNA from 1 species
CAGCAGCCGCCGCGGUAAUACGUAGGUGGCAAGCGUUGUCCGGAAUUAUUGGGCGUAAAGCGCGCACAGGCGGAUCAGUCAGUCUGUCUUAAAAGUUCGGGGCUUAACCCCGUGAUGGGAUGGAAACUGCUGAUCUAGAGUAUCGGAGAGGAAAGUGGAAUUCCUAGUGUAGCGGUGAAAUGCGUAGAUAUUAGGAAGAACACCAGUGGCGAAGGCGACUUUCUGGACGAAAACUGACGCUGAGGCGCGAAAGCCAGGGGAGCGAACGGGAUUAGAUACCCCAGUAGUCCCUGUCUCUUAUACA